rnacentral:pre_miRNA from 7 species
UUCUUACAAAGUGAGUGCUGGAAGAAAAAGAAAACCACUCAUAUUGUAAGACCCCUUUCGGGGACCCCCACUCUAGUCUCGGGAGUGAGAGAGCACCCAAAGAAACACGAGAAUCC